rnacentral:rRNA from 1 species
UUUUGCGCAAUGGGGGAAACCCUGACGCAGCAACGCCGCGUGAGUGAUGAAGGCUUUCGGGUCGUAAAGCUCUGUCAAGUGGGAAGAACCUAUGCAGUGUUAAUAUCACUGUAUACUGACGGUACCACUGAAGGAAGCACCGGCUAACUCCGUGCCAGCAGCCGCGGUAAUACGGGGGGUGCAAGCGUUAUUCGGAAUCAUUGGGCGUAAAGAGCACGUAGGCGGCCUGGUAAGUCAGAUGUGAAAGCCCGGGGCUUAACCCCGGAAGUGCAUUUGAUACUGUCAGGCUUGAGUAUGGGAGAGGGAAGUGGAAUUCCUGGUGUAGAGGUGAAAUUCGUAGAUAUCAGGAGGAACACCGGUGGCGAAGGCGACUUCCUGGACCAAUACUGACGCUGAGGUGCGAAGGCGUGGGUAGCAAACAGGAUUAGAUACCCUGGUAGUCCACGCAGUAAACGUUGAUCACUAGGUGUAGCGGGUAUUGACCCCUGCUGUGCCGCAGUUAACGCAUUAAGUGAUCCGCCUGGGGAGUACGGU